rnacentral:rRNA from 1 species
CCUACGGGGCGCAGCAGGGAGGAAUAUUGGUCAAUGGCCGAGAGGCUGAACCAGCCAAGUCGCGUGAGGGAAUAAGGCCCUACGGGUCGUAAACCUCUUUUGCCGGGGAGCAAGGGCCGGGACGCGUCCCGGCCCGGAGAGUACCCGGAGAAAAAGCAUCGGCUAACUCCGUGCCAGCAGCCGCGGUAAUACGGAGGAUGCGAGCGUUAUCCGGAUUUAUUGGGUUUAAAGGGUGCGUAGGCGGGCUUUUAAGUCAGCGGUAAAAAUUCGGGGCUCAACCCCGUCCGGCCGUUGAAACUGCGGGC